rnacentral:tRNA from 1 species
AAAAGAUUAGUUAAGUAAUAACAUUAGAGUGUCAACCUAAAAUGAUUGAUAAUAUCAAUAUCUUUUA